UGGGGAAUUUUGCGCAAUGGGGGAAACCCUGACGCAGCAACGCCGCGUGGAGGAUGAAGUCUCUUGGGACGUAAACUCCUUUCGAUCGGGACGAUAAUGACGGUACCGGAAGAAGAAGCCCCGGCUAACUUCGUGCCAGCAGCCGCGGUAAUACGAGGGGGGCGAGCGUUGUUCGGAAUUAUUGGGCGUAAAGGGUGCGUAGGCGGUUCGGUAAGUCUUGUGUGAAAUCUUCGGGCUCAACUCGAAGUCUGCACGAGAAACUGCCGGGCUUGAGUGUGGGAGAGGUGAGUGGAAUUUCCGGUGUAGCGGUGAAAUGCGUAGAUAUCGGAAGGAACACCUGUGGCGAAAGCGGCUCACUGGACCACAACUGACGCUGAGGCACGAAAGCUAGGGGAGCAAACAGGAUUAGAUACCCUGGUAGUCCUAGCCCUAAACGAUCAGGACUGGGCGUGGGCCCUGUACGGGGCUCGUGCCGUAGCUAACGCGUUAAGUCCUGCGCCUGGGGAGUACGGUCGCAAGGCUG
rnacentral:rRNA from 1 species